GGAAUCUUGCGCAAUGGGCGAAAGCCUGACGCAGCGACGCCGCGUGAGCGAUGGAGGCCUUCGGGUUGUAAAGCUCUGUGGGGAGGGACGAAUAAGUGCAGGCUAAUACCCUGCAUGAUGACGGUACCUCCUUAGCAAGCACCGGCUAACUCUGUGCCAGCAGCCGCGGUAAGACAGAGGGUGCAAACGUUGUUCGGAAUUACUGGGCGUAAAGCGUGUGUAGGCGGCUAUGUAAGUCGGAUGUGAAAGCCCCGGGCUCAACCCGGGAAGUGCACUCGAUACUGCGUAGCUUGAGUAUCGGAGAGGUUGGUGGAAUUCUCGGUGUAGAGGUGAAAUUCGUAGAUAUCGAGAGGAACACCGGUGGCGAAGGCGGCCAACUGGACGAAUACUGACGCUGAGACACGAAAGCGUGGGGAGCAAAC
rnacentral:rRNA from 1 species